CCCGCUGAACUUAAGCAUAUCAAUAAGCGGAGGAAAAGUAACUAACAAGGAUUCCCCUAGUAACUGCGAGUGAAGCGGGAAAAGCUCAAAUUUAAAAUCUGUCAGUCUUUGGCUGUCCGAGUUGUAAUCUAGAGAAGUGUUAUCCGCGCUGGACCGUGUAUAAGUUUCCUGGAAUGGAACGUCGUAGAGGGUGAGAAUCCCGUCUUUGACACGGACUGCCAGGGCUAUGUGAUGCGCUCUCGACGAGUCGAGUUGUUUGGGAAUGCAGCUCAAAUAGGGUGGUAAAUUCCAUCUAAAGCUAAAUACAGGCGAGAGACCGAUAGCGAACAAGUACCGUGAGGGAAAGAUGAAAAGAACUUUGGAAAGAGAGUUAAACAGUACGUGAAAUUGCUGAAAGGGAAACGCUUGAUGUCAGUCGCGUCGUCCGGGGAUCAGCCUUGCUCUUUUGCUCGGUGUAUUUCCUGGUCGACGGGUCAGCAUCGGUUUCGACCGUCGGAAAAUGGCUCGAGGAAUGUGGCACUCUUCGGAGUGUGUUAUAGACUCGGGUCGAAUACGACGAUUGGGACCGAGGAACUCAGCACGACCUUAGGGUUCGGGGCUUCGGCCCACGUCAACGUGCUUAGGAUGCUGGCAUAAUGGCCUUAAGCGACCCGUCUUGAAACACGG
rnacentral:rRNA from 1 species